CCUACGGGGGGCUGCAGUGAGGAAUAUUGGUCAAUGGGAGAGAUCCUGAACCAGCCAAGCCGCGUGAGGGAAGACGGCCCUACGGGUUGUAAACUUCUUUUGUCAGGGAGCAAUUGAGUCCACGUGUGGGCUUAGCGAGAGUACCUGAAGAAAAAGCAUCGGCUAACUCCGUGCCAGCAGCCGCGGUAAUACGGAGGAUGCGAGCGUUAUCCGGAUUUAUUGGGUUUAAAGGGUGCGUAGGCGGAAUAUCAAGUCAGCGGUAAAAAUUCGGGGCUCAACCCCGUCGUGCCGUGGAAACUGAGUUUCUUGAGUGGGCGAGAGGUAUGCGGAAUGCGUGGUGUAGCGGUGAAAUGCAUAGAUAUCACGCAGAACUCCGAUUGCGAAGGCAGCAUACCGGCGCCCAACUGACGCUGAAGCACGAAAGCGUGGGUAUCGAACAGGAUUAGAUACCCCGGUAGUC
rnacentral:rRNA from 1 species